AUUGAACGCUGGCGGCAUGCCUUACACAUGCAAGUCGAAUGGCAGCACGGGAGCAAUCCUGGUGGCGAGUGGCGAACGGGUGAGUAAUGUAUCGGAACGUACCUUUCAGUGGGGGAUAACGUAGCGAAAGUUACGCUAAUACCGCAUAUUCUGUGAGCAGGAAAGCAGGGGAUCGCAAGACCUUGCGCUGAUUGAGCGGCCGAUAUCAGAUUAGCUAGUUGGUGAGGUAAAGGCUCACCAAGGCGACGAUCUGUAGCGGGUCUGAGAGGAUGAUCCGCCACACUGGAACUGAGACACGGUCCAGACUCCUACGGGAGGCAGCAGUGGGGAAUUUUGGACAAUGGGCGCAAGCCUGAUCCAGCCAUGCCGCGUGAGUGAAGAAGGCCUCGGUUG
rnacentral:rRNA from 1 species